GGACAAGCCCAGCAGCUCUCCAUUGUAAGAUAGAAAUGAUACAUCUGGGGUCCAGCCCAAACAGAGCCAGAAGGCCAAGAAAAAAAAGGCCCACCGGAAUGCUGGAGUUGCUGCUUGCAGAACUUAUAAAAAGAAAUGGAUCUAAGUGGUACAAGGGAUGGACCAUAACAGAUGUUGUGAUAUGCCAUCUGGCUCAUGCUUCAAGACCAAAGGACUUAUUUCCCCAAGUUCCUGGGAGUUCUGCUGGUCAUUGACCUUCAGCAAUCAGCACUUUUUUUGGAAGAUGAGAUUUGACACAGAAAGGUAUGGAGGCAAGACCAUGAGAAGAUAUAGCAAGAAGGUACAAACCAAGAAGAGAGGCCUCAGGAGAAACCAAUGCUGCCACCACCCUGGCCUCAGACUUCUAGUCUCCAGAAUAGUAAG